rnacentral:rRNA from 1 species
GAGGCGUGAUGACGAGGCACUACGGUGCUGAAGCGACAAAUGCCCUGCUUCCAGGAAAAGCCUCUAAGCAUCAGGUAACAUCAAAUCGUACCCCAAACCGACACAGGUGGUCAGGUAGAGAAUACCAAGGCGCUUGAGAGAACUCGGGUGAAGGAACUAGGCAAAAUGGUGCCGUAACUUCGGGAGAAGGCACGCUGAUAUGUAGGUGAAGCGACUUGCUCGUGGAGCUGAAAUCAGUCGAAGAUACCAGCUGGCUGCAACUGUUUAUUAAAAACACAGCACUGUGCAAACACGAAAGUGGACGUAUACGGUGUGACGCCUGCCCGGUGCCGGAAGGUUAAUUGAUGGGGUUAGCGGUAACGCGAAGCUCUUGAUCGAAGCCCCGGUAAACGGCGGCCGUAACUAUAACGGUCCUAAGGUAGCGAAAUUCCUUGUCGGGUAAGUUCCGACCUGCACGAAUGGCGUAAUGAUGGCCAGGCUGUCUCCACCCGAGACUCAGUGAAAUUGAACUCGCUGUGAAGAUGCAGUGUACCCGCGGCAAGACGGAAAGACCCCGUGAACCUUUACUAUAGCUUGACACUGAACAUUGAGCCUUGAUGUGUAGGAUAGGUGGGAGGCUUUGAAGUGUGGACGCCAGUCUGCAUGGAGCCGACCUUGAAAUACCACCCUUUAAUGUUUGAUGUUCUAACGUGGGCCCCUUACCGGGGUUGCGGACAGUGUCUGGUGGGUAGUUUGACUGGGGCGGUCUCCUCCUAAAGAGUAACGGAGGAGCACGAAGGUUGGCUAAUCCUGGUCGGACAUCAGGAGGUUAGUGCAAUGGCAUAAGCCAGCUUGACUGCGAGCGUGACGGCGCGAGCAGGUGCGAAAGCAGGUCAUAGUGAUCCGGUGGUUCUGAAUGGAAGGGCCAUCGCUCAACGGAUAAAAGGUACUCCGGGGAUAACAGGCUGAUACCGCCCAAGAGUUCAUAUCGACGGCGGUGUUUGGCACCUCGAUGUCGGCUCAUCACAUCCUGGGGCUGAAGUAGGUCCCAAGGGUAUGGCUGUUCGCCAUUUAAAGUGGUACGCGAGCUGGGUUUAGAACGUCGUGAGACAGUUCGGUCCCUAUCUGCCGUGGGCGCUGGAGAACUGAGGGGGGCUGCUCCUAGUACGAGAGGACCGGAGUGGACGCAUCACUGGUGUUCGGGUUGUCAUGCCAAUGGCACUGCCCGGUAGCUAAAUGCGGAAGAGAUAAGUGCUGAAAGCAUCUAAGCACGAAACUUGCCCCGAGAUGAGUUCUCCCUGACUCCUUGAGAGUCCUGAAGGAACGUUGAAGACGACGACGUUGAUAGGCCGGGUGUGUAAGCGCAGCGAUGCGUUGAGCUAACCGGUACUAAUGAACCGUGAGGCUUAACCUUACAACGCCGAAG